rnacentral:rRNA from 1 species
UACGAAGGAUCCAAGCGUUUGUCCGGAUUUACUGGGUUUAAAGGGAGCGUAGGCGGAUCUUUAAGUCAGUGGUGAAAGCUCUCAGCUUAACUGGGAAACUGCCAUUGAAACUGAAGAUCUCGAGUAUGGUUGAGGUUACUGGAAUGUUGCAUGUAGCGGUGAAAUGCUUAGAUAUGCAACAGAACACCAAUUGCGAAGGCAGGUAACUAAGCCAUAACUGACGCUGAGGCUCGAAAGCGUGGGGAGCAAACAGG